CACACACUCACGUAUCACGAGAUACAAGCGAUAUCUUACGCGUUUGUCGAGUGCAACAAAGAGAUAACUAACGUCUUUAUAGUUCGUCUAACAAAGAUAGAAUCUACUACCUAACGAAUGACGUAGAAAAGAGAGGACUAUGAUCACCACGCUUUCUUCGAUGAGUUUCGGUGUGGCGUAGUUGGCAGGCAUGCGAAUGAACGAGUGGCAAACACGACGGAGAUCGCUGGUAACAGUGCCCGCGAAAGACAAAGAUCGAAAAUAAAGGACGAUACGAGAGAAGAGAAUGAAAAAAGAGAAGAGAGAAAACUAACGACAGACAGUGGCGGGUAUACUCACCCCCGUAUAUACAACCCUUUGCGAUACGAUAAUAAACAAUGAACGAUCUUACUUGGUCGACUCGUCUACUACGUGUGGAAUUGCACGGAGAUGAGAGGACGGCAGCCACUCAGACAUUCCGUUGCUCGUACGAACAGGUUUCCUACCGAUUGCAGAAAAAAAGCACUUAGACUCGAUUGUCCGAAAUCGAUGAAUACUAACCCCCGUGAAAACAUGAGGAAAAGAGAAAUGGAUGUAUCGAUCUCACCCCUAGGGACUUGCUGGGAUUAGGAUAUCACGGUAGCCACCUACAACGAACUAUGAAACACCAUGCAAUAGCGGAAGAAUCUUUUUAUACUUAGUAAUAUUAUUUAGUGUCACAUAAAAUCUUGCAAAUUAGUAUUUUUUAAGAAAAUCAAUAAUUUUUAAUAA